GAUGAACGCUGGCGGCGUGCCUAAUACAUGCAAGUCGAGCGAACGGACGAGAAGCUUGCUUUUCUGAUGUUAGCGGCGGACGGGUGAGUAACACGUGGAUAACCUACCUAUAAGACUGAGAUAACUUCGGGAAACCGGAGCUAAUACCGGAUAAUAUUUUGAACCGCAUGAUUCAAAAGUGGAAGACGGUCUUGCUGUCACUUCUAGAUGGAUCCGCGCUGCAUUAGCUAGUUGGUAAGGUAACGGCUUACCAAGGCAACGAUGCAUAGCCGACCUGAGAGGGUGAUCGGCCACACUGGAACUGAGACACGGUCAAGACGCCUACGGGAGGCAGCAGUAGGGAAUCUUCCGCAAUGGGCGAAAGCCUGACGGAGCAACGCCGCGCGAGUGAUGAAGGUCUUCGGAUCGGAAAACUCUGUUAUUAGGGAAGAACAUAUGUGUAAGUAACUGUGCACAUCUUGACGGUACCUAAUCAGAAAGCCACGGCUAACUACGUG
rnacentral:rRNA from 1 species